UGAGAAGUUUGGAGACCCCAGAGGAAUAGUACAGUUCACAGAACAGGACCUGAUUGAGCGCAUUUACAGUGAGCCUUCGGACAGCGAAGGGCCACUCAAAAUAUCACUCCUUAUCUGCCAUUUAGUAGCCAGGUGUUCUUUGUGCCGGGCUUUAACUUAAGUGUUGAGCUGAUGGAUGUGACUCUGAUUGGUCCCCUCCCAGAAUUCAACUGGAAUCAAAGCUGGCUGUUGUUUCUGUUCCUGAAGUGGCAGCUAAUGCUGAGGUACGGUAAUGCUUGCCCACGGUCAGAGGAGUGAGGUGAUCUCUCUCAGUGCUGUUAAUAACAUGUCAGUUGUCGCAGCUCACGCUGUUUACCUGACCUCUGUAGAGUCAGAGUCACCUGGUGGAGCCCGUCUCAGGACUGGUUACACAGUAGCUGAGGUGGAGCCAUUAGGAUUAUAUCAGUUUCGUCCUGAUUCUUGGCAGCUGGUCAUUGAGGAGGACGUGCAGACCAUCACCCACUACGUGCAGCGCCUCUAUGCCUUCCGCAGCAACCGUU